rnacentral:lncRNA from 1 species
GUUACAUUUUAGGUCCUCCCAGCUUCGGGUGAUUAAUUCGGUCCAUUUCAUAGAACUGGGAUGCUUUUGAAGAAAACCCAGUGGAAUAUGUACACAAAUAGCUGGCAAUCAGCGAAGCAGUAGCAGUUCAUGGAGCUGCCCUUCACAAACCUUGAAGUAGCUUUCAUCUUGCUGGCUUUUGUCAUUUUCACCUUGUUUACCCUGGCUUCUAUCUACAGUGACUCCCAUGACAACAAAGAAGAGAAAAGCUACACACAGGAAGAAAACAAGAGAAGGAGAAAAUCCAACAAGAAAAAGAAGCAUUCGAAUAUGAGUGAAGUGGUUUAG